UUUUUAAUUUUUUUUAAGUUCUUCUACUUUAUCAUAUAUGCAACUCUUUCUAGAACUGUUGUAUAAGCAGAUGAAUUUGUUUCAAAUUCGUUAACCAUUUGAAGGUUUUACAGAUUCAUGCUCCGACAAAGUGUUACUGAAGUUCCUACAUAUGAAAAGUAAAACAUUUAGAUAUGUGCCCUUGUGUUUAUUUCAUAGUUUGAAUUUGAACUAUGACGGCUUCUAGGGUGGACCACUAUCACAGGUGUCCACCAUGCACUACUAUUAAUGACCCUUGGAUUAAUCUAUGGAGCGUCUUCUUAUCAUGCACUCUCUACACUAUAUUCCUUCUCCGUUCCUCUUCUUCUCCCCUCACCCUAUGAACCACCUUGGCUAAGAAUGGUUGCUGCGCUGCCGGAGUUACUAUACCAUGAAUCAAAAUCAAAGCAAACCCAGAUUCAAAAUCUAAAAAUUAAAUAGCAGAAUUUCCAUAUUAGUUCAUCAACAAAUUCCAAACAAUAAUUCAAGCAAUAAAAAAACAAAUAACCCAAACACAUUGUGAGUAAUGUACUGUGUAGGGACAUCAAUCCAACACCGAUUGUCCACCUGAUGCUCUCAUAAUUCAUGGUGCUGUGGAUUAGAAUACAUUAUUAGCUUGAAAACAUGGAGCUCAAAACAGAAGUUGGGGGAAAAACCAAACACAUGGUUCCUUGCAGCAAAGAACAAAUCAAACCAUGAAUCCACUUGACAUAUCAAAAGUUCCCAAAAUACAUAUACACAGAUCAAGAAAAUUGAAGAUUCCUAAUUCUUCAGUUAAACGAUACAAACAAACUAAAAAUAAUUAAAGUAAAUAAUAAGAGUUGUAGCAGCAAAGGCGGGGAUGAGGAUCUCUAUGAUCAGAUCUGGAAACGCGAGAGAACAUCAUGAGCACCACUUUGAUCGUUUGUAGUGGCCUUAACCGGAUCUAGACCGAGCACCACCAUUGUUUGUCCGGGCCUUGUGUGGAUGUGGAUCGAGCACCACCACCGUUUGCCAUGGCCUUGAGCGGAUCUAGACUGACUACCAACAUCAUUCACCCUAGGGUCAUUAAUAGUGGUUCACGGACCACCUAUAAAGGUAGUCCACCCUACAAUGCUGAGUUCAGAAAAUAUGUACUUUCAUUAAAUUAGCAUUGUCUGGUAGAGAGGCUGGAAAUAGAGGAGAAAUAUUUAAAUUAGAGUAGAGAGUGUGGGACUCAUAUGGGACCCACAGUAUUUCCCUUCUAUUUCUCUCCCCCC
rnacentral:lncRNA from 1 species